rnacentral:rRNA from 1 species
GAUCAUGGCUCAGGAUGAACGCUAGCUACAGGCUAACACAUGCAAGUCGAGGGGUAGCAGGGUAGCAAUACCGCUGACGACCGGCGCACGGUGGGUAACACGUAUCCAACCUUCCCAUAACUCAGGGAUAGCCUUUCGAAAGAAAGAUUAAUACCUGAUAGUACUUUUUCAAGGCAUCUUGAGAAAGUUAAAGAUUUAUUGGUUAUGGAUGGGGAUGCGUUCCAUUAGAUAGUUGGUGAGGUAACGGCUCACCAAGUCUUCGAUGGAUAGGGGUUCUGAGAGGAAGGUCCCCCACAUUGGUACUGAGACACGGACCAAACUCCUACGGGAGGCAGCAGUGAGGAAUAUUGGUCAAUGGGCGAGAGCCUGAACCAGCCAAGUAGCGUGAAGGAUGAAGGUCCUAUGGAUUGUAAACUUCUUUUAUAGUAGAAUAAAGUGAUCCACGUGUGGAUUUUUGUAUGUAUACUAUGAAUAAGGAUCGGCUAACUCCGUGCCAGCAGCCGC